UACUCCCUGCAACAAAUGAAACGCACAUUUGAAACGAUGCCAGCUAUUUAAUUUGUUGUUCUUUUUUACAAUACGGUGCUGUUUGUUUUUUUGCUAACCCUAACGAAAAUAACAUUUAAUAGCCAUACUGUAGAUGUAGUGUUGACAGUCAUUUAACAUGUUUAGCUAGCCCUAGAUUAGCCUACAGGUAGUACAAUUAGCCAUCUUUGCACCUGCCUCACUGACUUCAUUAAUUAGUUAACGUCUGAAGCACGUGCUGGAGUUUUCCUGAUCGCUGUCGGCUAACAUUGCCUUGGACCAACUCCAAAAACUUCCCAAAGGAUGAACACCAUGGACUCCCUUCAAAAAAUCCAAAGAAAAACAGAGACUGGCCGUGUGACGUGUGUUGGAGUUUGGCUGUGGUCUCCGUUACAUAAGGCUGUCGUUGUGUCUGAGGCUACUGGAGCAGCGGCCCCCUGCUAGAAAGAAAUCAGGACGGUGGAGUUCUCCCCCUCUCCGAUCCUUCCCACACCGACUCCCCUUUACUCCCCUCUGUCUCUCCACCCCGAUCAUUACUCCAAUCAGCGGCCCU